GGCGGCGUAGCCAAGUGGUAAGGCGGGGGUCUGCAAAACCCCUAUUCAGCGGUUCGAUUCCGCUCGCCGCCUCCU
rnacentral:tRNA from 1 species